rnacentral:rRNA from 1 species
AGGGUUUGAUCAUGGCUCAGGACGAACGCUGGCGGCGUGCUUAACACAUGCAAGUCGAGCGAUGAAGCACCUUCGGGUGUGAAUUAGCGGCGAACGGGUGAGGAACACGUGAGAAAUCUGCCUUCAACACUGGGAUAACUCCGGGAAACCGGGGCUAAUACCGGAUAUGCAACCUGCGGGCAUCCGCGGGUUUGGAAAGUUUUUCGGUUGAAGAUGAUCUCGCGGCCUAUCAGCUUGUUGGUGAGGUAAUGGCUCACCAAGGCGACGACGGGUAGCCGGCCUGAGAGGGCGACCGGCCACACUGGGACUGAGACACGGCCCAGACUCCUACGGGAGGCAGCAGUGGGGAAUAUUGGGCAAUGGAGGAAACUCUGACCCAGCGACGCCGCGUGCGGGAUGAAGGCCUUCGGGUUGUAAACCGCUUUCAGCAGGGAAGAAGCGAAAGUGACGGUACCUGCAGAAGAAGCACCGGCUAACUAUGUGCCAGCCGCCGCGGUAAUUCA